ensembl:lncRNA
AAAAUUAAAAUUUAAAACACUCCCUCAUAGUUUUGGCUUGUUGCACUCAGAAGCCUUGUGCCCUGUCCUGAGGACAGAUGUCUGGAUGCUGUCACAGAUGGUUAAGAAUAUCUCCAUUUUCGUGUCCUGGUCAGCCCUGCAGCAGCUGCCUGUAAUAGAGAGAAACCCUGAACUUAAUUUCCUCUGGUGCAAUUCUUUGAAAGGAUGUUCACCAGAAGAUUGCUCUGUCCAGUCAUCUUAUUCUACAGUAUAUUUGACUAAAUGUUGCUUUGUUUGACAUCGCAGCCAAAGUGUGCAUGGCUUCAUUGAGCCAAUGUAAACAGCCAGGAAUGAAAGAUAUAUUUGGAUACAUCAGAUCAGAGCAGGACUUGAAGUGAAGCUUGCUGAUUGUAAGCAGUACCUGUGUGUUUUGCAUACUGGCUUGAACCUGGAGUGGCAUUGGUUACUUCUGAGGAAAAAUCUCAGACAAAUGAAGACCUGGGGAGCCCUGACUCCACUCCUGCUACUACAGAUGCUAUAAAUGGGCACCUGCAGCCUGAUCCAGGAAGACUGGCACCACACUUGGGAACUUUUGCCAAAAGCAGUAUCUCAGUAUGCUAAGGACUGAGAUUUGUCCUGGGUGGGUAACAACAGCCACACAUACUUUUCUCCACCACAGACUACUGUCAAGAAAUGCCUCAACCUUCAUCAGAGAUAAGACAAAAAGAUCAUAGUUUAAUUUUACUUUUUGAAAAAUCCAUCAUUAAAUGGACUAGAAAUGUUCAAGAUGUUGAAUGAGGUUUCAGUUUGAGUUAGCUGCAUAAUGAGAAAACAAGGAUAAUUUAGAUUUUACAAAAAAGCUUGUCAAGUUUUGUUUCCUUCUAUCAACAUUAGCCAGGGAAGUUUGCAUAUUACUUGCACGCAGAGUCUGAAGAGGAGGAUGGAAAGUCUCCACUUUUGGCCUCUUUCUCUUACCAUGCUGAAAAUCAGUAAUGGAUCACUUAUACAAUUUCUUUCUCUUUGAAUCCAAGACUACCUCUGUCAGGCAGAUAUACAAUACUAAUGCAAGCAUCACAAAGUUCAACAAUAAUCCUAUGGCAUUCUACAUAUUCUGUGAACUUUAUGGAUGCAUUUCUAAAACUACCAGAGAGACAGUUGAAUUCCAAGUUGAUUGUGUGCAUUGGUUUUAAUUUACUCCGUCCUACUUCAUUCAUCUCCUGCUCCUGUUGCUCUCUGAAGUCUGACAACUUCUGUUCUAUCUCUGUACUUCUCCUGUAUAUUACUGUGCAUAAUUGGAUUACUGUUUUCUUUUCUCAUGCUGUUACAAUUCCCUGAAUUUGGUUUUGUUCUCAUAGUUCAUGCAGCACUUUUUUUCCUAGUUUAUAAUUUCCUUUGCAUCUCUGUUUCUUCUCUUCCUCCCCCUCAUACAGCUCUCCAGUUUUCUCCAAAGGCUGAUUCCUCAUUCUGAGUUUUAUUCCAAUAUCUUUUCUCCUUUAUCACUGCCAUCACAGUAUGAGCAGGAGUUUCCAAGCAAUUCUCAAAAGUCAUAAAGAGAUAUCCUUCAAUCAGAAUUACAUUACAUCUGUAUUCAAACUUUCACAGAGUGCCACCUCCUCUAAUAACAAAGUG